GAUGAACGCUAGCGGCAGGCUUAAUACAUGCAAGUCGAGGGGCAGCAUGAGUGUAGCAAUACAUUUGAUGGCGACCGGCAAACGGGUGCGGAACACGUACACAACCUUCCUAUAAGUGGGGAAUAGCCCAGAGAAAUUUGGAUUAAUACCCCGUAACAUAAUGAUGUGGCAUCACAUUAUUAUUAUAGCUUCGGCGCUUAUUGAUGGGUGUGCGGCUGAUUAGAUAGUUGGCGGGGUAACGGCCCACCAAGUCUACGAUCAGUAGCUGAUGUGAGAGCAUGAUCAGCCACACGGGCACUGAGACUCGGGCCCGACUCCUACGGGAGGCAGCAGUAAGGAAUAUUGGUCAAUGGACGCAAGUCUGAACCAGCCAUGCCGCGUGAAGGAUUAAGGUCCUCUGGAUUGUAAACUUCUUUUAUCUGGGACGAAAAAAGGCUAUUCUUAGUCACUUGACGGUACCAGAUGAAUAAGCACCGGCUAACUCCGUGCCAGCCGCCGCCGUAACAC
rnacentral:rRNA from 1 species